rnacentral:rRNA from 1 species
UACGUAGGUCCCGAGCGUUGUCCGGAUUUAUUGGGCGUAAAGCGAGCGCAGGUGGUUUAUUAAGUCUGGUGUAAUAGGCAGUGGCUCAACCAUUGUAUGCAUUGGAAACUGGCAGACUUGAGUGCAGGAGAGGAGAGUGGAAUUCCAUGUGUAGCGGUGAAAUGCGUAGAUAUAUGGAGGAACACCGGUGGCGAAAGCGGCUCUCUGGCCUGUAACUGACACUGAGGCUCGAAAGCGUGGGGAGCAAACAGG